rnacentral:lncRNA from 1 species
GAAUUAUUGGCUACAGCAUCAUCAAAUCACUAAUGUAUUACCAAUGAAGAGCUGGCAUCUUGGGAGUUUUACCCUGAUGGGAACCAUCAAGCAGAACCUUCUGGACCUGUACUUCCGAGUUCACUAGGGCUGGGAGAACUCAGCCCAGGGAUCAGCAACGCAUGUACAAGUCUCUCCAGAACAGGCAACAUUCUUUAAGUUGGUACCUGGGCCCCUGGUGCAGGAUGGGUUCUUCAUAAACCUUUAUUAAAGAAGUGUUCAAUAAAUCAAUACUCAGUUUUCUCCACUGUAA